GGCGAACGCUGGCGGCGUGCUUAACACAUGCAAGUCGAACGGAAAGGCCCUGCUUGCAGGGUACUCGAGUGGCGAACGGGUGAGUAACACGUGGGUGAUCUGCCCUGCACUUCGGGAUAAGCUUGGGAAACUGGGUCUAAUACCGGAUAGGAACCAUCUUUAGUGUGGUGGUUGGAAAGUUUUUUCGGUGUAGGAUGAGCUCGCGGCCUAUCAGCUUGUUGGUGGGGUAAUGGCCUACCAAGGCGGCGACGGGUAGCCGGCCUGAGAGGGUGUACGGCCACAUUGGGACUGAGAUACGGCCCAGACUCCUACGGGAGGCAGCAGUGGGGAAUAUUGCACAAUGGGCGCAAGCCUGAUGCAGCGACGCCGCGUGGGGGAUGAAGGCCUUCGGGUUGUAAACUCCUUUCGCUAGGGACGAAGCUUUUUGUGACGGUACCUAGAUAAGAAGCACCGGCUAACUACGUG
rnacentral:rRNA from 1 species